rnacentral:rRNA from 1 species
CGGACGGGUGAGUAAUGUCUGGGAAACUGCCUGAUGGAGGGGGAUAACUACUGGAAACGGUAGCUAAUACCGCAUAACGUCGCAAGACCAAGAGGGGACCUUCGGGCCUCUUGCCAUCGGAUGUGCCCAGAUGGGAUUAGCUAGUAGGUGGGGUAACGGCUUACCUAGGCGACGAUCCCUAGCUGGUCUGAGAGGAUGAUCAGCCACACUGGGACUGAGACACGGCCCAG